UUCAAUAUUCAUCUAUAUGAAGACCAGCAAUUGGGCGGAGGCCGGUAAGGGUCAAGUCCAGUAGCAUGUAACUAGGGGAAUGUUGGGUGGUGGCUGGUAAGGGUCAAGCCCAGCACCAUGUAAUUAGGGAAUUGUACUAAAUCCAGUACCAUGUGACUAGAAUUGUUGGGUGGAAGGAUCUAAGUCCAGGACUCUGACUCUAAAAAUGUGGUGGCGGUAUAUAAGGAAUUGCACAUUCACUGUGAGUUGGGUUAUGGUAAGGGCUUAGAAUUGUUGAGCGAAAGGGUCUAAGUCCAUGACUCUGCCUCUAAAAAUGUGGUGGCAAUAUAUAAGGAAUUGCACAUUCGUUGUAAGCUGAGUUAGUGGUAAGGGCUUAGAAUUGUUGGGCAGAAGGGUCCAAGUCCAGGACUCUGCCUCUAAAAAUGUGGUGGCAGUAUAUAAGGAAUUGCACAUUCAC